AGUAGUAUCUGUCUAGAUGUCCCGAAGGAGCUGCGCAGUUCUCCAUCGACCAUUCCAAACCGUUGAUUAUCUGUUUAUACGGUCCAUGGUACCACCAACUGCCAGCAACGUACAUCUACUGCAGAUUUUGGAGAUUGAUUUAUGGUGAUGUUUCACUUCUUCCAGAGCUUCAGUUCUUGCUUAGCAGAAUAAUUACAGCUGACGGUGAAUUUGGACGUUGGCAUUCAGAAGCUGGGUUGUUCCAUCCAAACUAUGACAAUGACGAAAGCUAGCAUCUAACUCGAAGGAGAGCUGCCCAGUUUUGCAUUAUCAACCAUUUCAAUGGUGUUCCCCUGCCUCUCGACC